GUGGCUCUGAUUGCUUAUUGCACCACAUGUGUUUUUCUUUGAAACAAACUUGCUUUGGCGGUGGGCCCAGCCUGCCGCCAGAGGUCUAAACUUACAACCAAUUUUUUAUCAACUUGUCACACCAGAUUAUUACUAAUAGUCAAAACUUUCAACAACGGAUCUCUUGGUUCUCGCAUCGAUGAAGAACGCAGCGAAAUGCGAUACGUAAUAUGAAUUGCAGAUAUUCGUGAAUCAUCGAAUCUUUGAACGCACAUUGCGCCCUCUGGUAUUCCGGAGGGCAUGCCUGUUUGAGCGUCGUUUCUCCCUCAAACCGCUGGGUUUGGUGUUGAGCAAUACGACUUGGGUUUGCUUGAAAGACGGUAGUGGUAAGGCGGGAUCGCUUUGACAAUGGCUUAGGUCUAACCAAAAACAUUGCUUGCGGCGGUAACGUCUACCACGUAUAUCUUCAAACUUUGACCUCAAAUCAGGUAGGACUACCCGCUGAACUUAAGCAUAUCAAAAGCCGGAGGAA
rnacentral:rRNA from 1 species